rnacentral:rRNA from 1 species
CCUACGGGAGGCAGCAGUGAGGAAUAUUGGUCAAUGGACGAGAGUCUGAACCAGCCAAGUAGCGUGAAGGAUGACUGCCCUAUGGGUUGUAAACUUCUUUUAUAAAGGAAUAAAACGUUGCACGUGUGCCUUUUUGUAUGUACUUUAUGAAUAAGGAUCGGCUAACUCCGUGCCAGCAGCCGCGGUAAUACGGAGGAUCCGCGCGUUAUCCGGAUUUAUUGGGGUUAAAGGGAGCGUAGAUGGGUUGUUAAGUCAUGUGUGAAAGUUUGCGGCGCAACCGUAAAAUUUCAAGGUAUAAUGGCAGUAUUGAGUACAGUUGAGGUAGGCGGAAUUCGUGGUGUAGCGGUGAAAUGCUUAGAUAUCACGAAGAACCCCGAUUGCGAAGGCAGCUUACUAAACUGUUACUGACACUGAUGCUCGAAAGUGUGGGUAUCAAACAGGAUUAGAUACACGAGUAGUC